rnacentral:rRNA from 1 species
GUAGGGGCCUAGCGUUGUCCGGAUUUAUUGGGCGUAAAGAGCUCGUAGGCGGUUUGGUGAGUCGGGUGUGAAAUCUCUACGCUCAACGUGGAGGGGCCACCCGAUACUGCCAUGACUAGAGUCCGGUAGGGGAGUGUGGAAUUCCCGGUGUAGCGGUGAAAUGCGCAGAUAUCGGGAGGAACACCAGUAGCGAAGGCGACACUCUGGGCCGGUACUGACGCUGAGGAGCGAAAGCGUGGGGAGCAAACAGGAUUAGAUACCCUGGUAGUCCACGCUGUAAACGUUGGGCACUAGGUGUGGGACUCUAUCGACGGGUUCCGUGCCGUAGCUAACGCAUUAAGUGCCCCGCCUGGGGAGUACGGCCGCAAGGCUA